rnacentral:lncRNA from 1 species
CACUGGGGCAGUUCUCUGGGCUAUCUCAAGAAUGUGAGCUGAGGACCGAACCCAGGGCCUUGUGCUUGCGAGAUGAGACAUCAUAAAGUCAGAGCCAGUGUACUGUUCUUCCAAAUCCCUUCAAGAAUCCUGCUGACAUCUUACAGCGGGACUAGAACAGUGAUAUGAAAUACAAUGUACUGGGGUAGUAAUUUUGUUACAUUUUCAAAAGGAAAAUUUAAUAACAUGUUGAUUUGAAAUUUGCAUGUAUAAAGCUUAUUAAAUGCCAUUUAUGUACUAUCAUUUUAAUAAACAAAAUUCAUGUGCAAUUGAACUAUAAAA